rnacentral:rRNA from 1 species
ACAGCAGCCGCCACGGUAAUACGGAGGGUGCAAGCGUUAAUCGGAAUUACUGGGCGUAAAGCGCACGCAGGCGGUCUGACAAGUCAGAUGUGAAAUCCCCGGGCUCAACCUGGGAACUGCAUUUGUGACUGUAUAGCUAGAGUACGGCAGAGGGGGAUGGAAUUCCGCGUGUAGCAGUGAAAUGCGUAGAUAUGCGGAGGAACACCGAUGGCGAAGGCAAUCCCCUGGGCCUGUACUGACGCUCAUGCACGAAAGCGUGGGGAGCAAACAGGAUUAGAUACCCGAGUAGUCCCUGUCUCUUAUAC